AUAAACAUCAAAGCCCAAAACAACUCCUUGUCUCGUGUUUUUCCCCCCAAAUGUGACCCAUCCCAGGUUCAAUCAUAUUCCCUCCCAGCCCAAUUCGCCCUCCAACCCAACCCAAUUCCAGCGAUUACACAGAACAGUUCCCCAACGCGUGAGAGAACGACGACCCAAACCCAGAAUUCGAUCGCGCGUGACACGUCUUCUUCCCUUUCUCAGUCUGGUUGUGCGAUUUUCAGAGGAAGGCAGCGUACUUGUGCAGAGAGCAAGGCGAGGUGGCAAAAUCUCAGCGUCUCUCUCGUCCUAGAGUCGAUAUCGGAUGACUCUCCUUUCAAUUCCGUUGGGAAUUAGUACUAUGGACAACUUUCUACCUGUUCCUCUGAAGAGAUUUUGAAUUUCAAAUCUUGAAUUGGACCCCAUCCUCACCCGUUUUUCCACCUAAAUCAGCCCUAAUUUCCAUCUAUUUAAACCGACUCUGAUCUUCAUUAGGGGUGGGGGGGUGGGGGGGCUGGAAAGAGGAAGCAAGAAAAAAAAUGAAAAAGAAAACAUACUAAUCAUAUACUGUGUUCAUCAAUCGAUCGAAAUACGUAGAAAUAAGCUUCAAUCGAUAAUACUUGGAAGGUUAGCUUGGGAUUUUUCUCUCAGGGCGUUCAUUGAAGAUUUGUGGUGAAGUUGUCGCCAGCUCUUGGUUCCAAUUUGCUGCCCGGAAAAAGUAAAAAAUUCCUUUCGGGUCCUUACGGACCUCACUUCAUCUAUUCGCAUCCUCUCGUUGAGCCGUAAAGGCUCACACUACCAUAUACGAGGCGUCCAGCCCCCUCUAAACUGGUGUACAGGUCGAAAAGCAGCAAAUAUGUUGCUGGAAAAUAAUUUGCAGGUCUCCAAAAGCCUAAGAAAGGGCUAAUAUACUGUUGUAUACACUGAUAUACAGUUGAAAUAUGUGAUGUACAGUUCCAAAAAUUAUACAGGUGCUGGAAAUUUGAUCUGGGGCAGCAUAAAUUCGGUAUACAGCCCAAGAUACAGGAAAUGGGGCUAAUAUAUGAAUUUUAUACACUGAUAUACAACGUUUGUAUACAAACAGAAUUGAUUUUGAAGUCCAAAAUCAGCAGCUUUGGCCCAAUGUUUCUGCGCAGCAAUAGGCCCAGAAGGCCCAAACCUUCCUCUCUCACUCUUUUUUUAUUUGAAUUUAUUAAUUUGUCUAUCACUUUAUUUACUAAUUAAUUUUAAGGAUAACUUAAUUAAAUUCCCAAAAAGAUGAACCAUAUUCUUUAUGUUAGUGUAUAAAUUCUUUUUUUUUUCAA